UCAAGAUGUAUUGGUGUUGAGAAAACAAUCCAAGCACUGAAUGCAAUUGAAUAUACUGUAUGCAAUCUGCAGUCCACUGAUGCAGAACUUAGCUCUAAACUUCAGACUGGUACUUAUAUCUAUAGCCUUUGAAGACGCAGUAACAAGAUGCCAACAAUGAAGAAAGCCCUCUUCAGACACAGAAUCAGAGAUCGCUUUAAUCUGAGACUUCCCAUUAUCCAGGACUGCAUUUCAGCGUUGCUGUGUGGACACCACUGAUAUGAAUGAAAGUGCUCACUGCUGACCUAGAGUAAUAAGUACAUAUCCCCUAUAAAAUGUUAAAUAAUGAGAGUAAAAGUGCUAUUUUCUUGUAAGGGAUGUAUUUUCAAUAAAAAUGUAGACUGGGUUUUA